UUGUCUUUUUUUUUUUGCACCCUUCUGAAAUUUCAAGGCAUAGAAACUUAAUGAGUUGUGUUUAAUCACUAAUGCCAUGUCUAAAUGAAAUUGUGUUUGAUCUCAGGUGAUCCGACCUUUAUUUAUAUCUAUAACUUUGGUCAAUCAAAUCUGACUUUUAGAGGAAUUGUGCUUUUCAAAUGUAUUUUUUUUCUGAAGUUUUGAGUUCGUGACCUCGUCCUCUCUUCACUGCCGAUCAAUAUUUCUGUAAGCUUAUCGCAAAACUGUUUGACUAAACCCCCUCUUGGUACAUAUAUGGAGGUUAAAGGAGAGCAGGUUGACCAGUCAUGGCAAACUCUCCUCUGGACUAGACUUGUUUCUUGUUUUCUAGCAGACGGACGAGGUUAUGAGAGCGUGUGAGUGUGCUGUGGAGAACAGAGUUUGUAGUUGGUGGAUGGUCUGUUUUAUGUUUCUUUUUUCAGUGAUGAAAAAACAUGAAGAUCUGGCAUAUUUACUGAACUUGGUCUGUGUUUGAUGUGAAGUUGAAAACGCCACAAACGUCAGCUUGAAGAGGCCAUCUGCACGGUUCCCGUCAUCUUGCACUCCUCUGAGCGACACGUAAACAGAAGACCAGAAUCGAUAACACUUGCACAUGACAGCUGUGUGAACCUGCGGCUGGAACAGACAAGAGCGGAAAAAUCAAGUCACAGUUUAUAGGUUCAUUCUGAGUUCAGUGAAAAAACGACAUGUAAUAUAUAAAAUGUACAGCAUCUA